rnacentral:rRNA from 1 species
AUUGAACGCUGGCGGCGUGCUUUACACAUGCAAGUCGGACGAGUGGCGAACGGGUGAGUACCGCAUCGGAACGUACCGAGUAAUGGGGGAUAACUGUCCGAGAGAACAGCUAAUACCGCAUAGUAUUCGAGCGGCCCAUUGCUGGUUAGCUGGUUGGCGGGGUAAAGGCCCAACAAGGCGACGAUCAGUAGCGGGUCUGAGAGGAUGAUCCGCAACACUGUGACUGAGACACGGCCCAGACUCCUACGGGAGGCAGCAGUGGGGAAUUUUGGACAAUGGGCGCAAGCCUGAUCCAGCCAUGCCGCGUGUCUGAAGAAGGCCUUCGGGUUGUAAAGGACUUGUGUCAGGGAAGCGGUACCUGAAGAAUAAGCACCGGCUAACUACGUGCCAGCCGCCGCGGUAAUUC